UGGGGAAUUUUGGACAAUGGGCGAAAGCCUGAUCCAGCAAUGCCGCGUGUGUGAAGAAGGCCUUCGGGUUGUAAAGCACUUUUGUCCGGAAAGAAAUCCUUGGCUCUAAUACAGUCGGGGGAUGACGGUACCGGAAGAAUAAGCACCGGCUAACUACGUGCCAGCAGCCGCGGUAAUACGUAGGGUGCAAGCGUUAAUCGGAAUUACUGGGCGUAAAGCGUGCGCAGGCGGUUUGCUAAGACUGAUGUGAAAUCCCCGGGCUCAACCUGGGAACUGCAUUGGUGACUGGCAGGCUAGAGUAUGGCAGAGGGGGGUAGAAUUCCACUGUAGCAGUGAAAUGCGUAGAGAUGUGGAGGAAUACCGAUGGCGAAGGCAGCCCCCUGGGCCAAUACUGACGCUCAUGCACGAAAGCGUGGGGAGCAAACAGGAUUAGAUACCCUGGUAGUCCACGCCCUAAACGAUGUCAACUAGUUGUUGGGGAUUCAUUUCCUUAGUAACGUAGCUAACGCGUGAAGUUGACCGCCUGGGGAGUACGGUCGCAAGAUUAAACUUAAGGAAUUGACGGGGUCAUAGCUGUUUCCU
rnacentral:rRNA from 1 species